UACGAAGGGGGCUAGCGUUGCUCGGAAUCACUGGGCGUAAAGCGCACGUAGGCGGCUUACUAAGUCAGGGGUGAAAUCCUGGAAGCUCAACUCCAGAACUGCCUUUGAUACUGGUGAGCUUGAGUCCGGAAGAGGUGAGUGGAACUGCGAGUGUAGAGGUGAAAAUUCGUAGAUAUCUGGAGGAACACCGGUGGCGAAGGCGGCAUCCUGGACCGGUAUUGACGCUGAGGCGCGAAAGCUAGGGGAGCAAACGGGG
rnacentral:rRNA from 1 species